rnacentral:rRNA from 1 species
UAGUCCACGCCGUAAACGAUGUGUGCUAGAUGUCGGGUCCAUAGGAUUCGGUGUCGCAGCUAACGCACUAAGCACACCGCCUGGGGAGUACGGUCGCAAGAUUAAAACUCAAAGGAAUUGACGGGGACCCGCACAAGCGGUGGAGCAUGUUCUUUAAUUCGAAGCAACGCGAAGAACCUUACCUACACUUGACAUACUCGUCGGGAUUUCCAGAGAUGGAUUUCUUCGGUUCGGCCGGACGAGAUACAGGUGCUGCACGGCUGUCGUCAGCUCGUGUCGUGAGAUGUUUGGUUAAGUCCAGCAACGAGCGCAACCCCUAUCGUAUGUUGCCAGCAUUCAGUUGGGCACUCAUGCGAGACUGCCGGUGUUAGGCCGGAGGAAGGCGGGGAUGAUGUCAAGUCCUCAUGGCCCUUAUGACCAGGGCUACACACGUACUACAAUGGCAAAGACAAACUGACGCGAAGCCGCGAGGUGAAGCAAAUCGGAAAAACAUUAGUCUC